CAUUUUUCCCAAAAAAAAAAAAAGAAGGUGUCUCAAUUUUUUUCAUUUUCCCGCUCUUCAUCUUCUUCCCUCACAUUCUGUCUCCGUCGUUCCGCGAAACGAAGAAACUCACUGCACACUCGCUCACCCAUCUCUUUUGUGCCUCUCUCCUCUUCCUUGUCGCCGCUGCGCUCUGCUCUUCCUCCUUCCCCCACCGCCGUCACGCUCUGCUCUCCCCUUAUCUCUUCUAGACCUUACAUAUAGUUGCAGAACUAUGCAAAGUUGAUGAUGGGAGAUGAUAAAUAGCCGGCGAAGGUGAUGGGAAUAGCAGUAGAGAAAAAGAUCAGGAGCUUCUCAUACCAUCGUUGACUGUUCCGGCAUCCAUGACGAUUCUUCUAAAGUUAUCCCUUUCGUUUAUUCUUCCCACCUUUAUGGGUGAGAGGUAGUGCAUGUUAAGAUAAUCAAGCUAGCGCUACGACUUGCGUACAUCAAUCUCAAUGCCUUCAGUCUACUAUCUCAGAGCUUUGCUUUUACAGAGGAAAUCCAUGCUUUGCACAGGCUAUCAAUGCCGUGUUCGGGUUGCUUUAUUCUGGUAAUCUGCCUUGUUCCUGGGUCAAGGUUCAAUGUGGUUUAUCACUACCAGCCCUGAACACGAACCGAGAUUCCACCAUAAGGAAUCCUCCAGCUUUUUCAGGUUUUUUGUAUUUCAUUCCUUUCCCAAGAUUGUCAUGUUGCUAGUAAAUCGUUUCUCACCUUAUCUAUUAUUGCACCUUUUAUCAAACUUUCAGGGGAGUCCAGGGAUGUUACGACAUUAAUGCAGAAAAAACUCGUGAAGAGAACUGGACUUGAAGGGUAUCCAGUUGCUUUACAGCCAAGUACAUUUUUUAUGAUGUAUUCAACAAUCCGAGGAGCAACCCUUCACUACGGAGGAGAUAAAUGAAGUUCGAGAUAAUUUGGCAAACUUCAUUAAGAGAUUGUCUUUGAUAUUUUCUUGUAGUGAAUCAUAGAUUGUGAAUGCUAGUUUUCCAUAUGAUUGUAGUGUAAUCGAUUUUUAUAUUUACAAUUAUAUACUAUGUAAUUUAAUUAUCUAUAUAAUUGGAUACUUGUUUUAUGUGA